rnacentral:tRNA from 1 species
GAGGAUGUGGCUAAAUGUUUAGAGCGUUGGACUUUUGAUCAACGGUUGCGAGUACCAUCCUCG